rnacentral:rRNA from 1 species
CCUACGGGUGGCAGCAGUGAGGAAUAUUGGUCAAUGGGCGUAAGCCUGAACCAGCCAAGUCGCGUGAGGGAUGAAGGUUCUAUGGAUCGUAAACCUCUUUUAUAAGGGAAUAAAGAGCGGGACGGGUCCCGUUUUGUAUGUACCUUAUGAAUAAGGAUCGGCUAACUCCGUGCCAGCAGCCGCGGUAAUACGGAGGAUUCGAGCGUUAUCCGGAUUUAUUGGGUUUAAAGGGUGCGGAGGCGGCCUUUUAAGUCAGCGGGCAAAGUCCGGGGCUCAACCCGGGAAUCGCCGUUGAACCUGGCAGGCUUGAGUAUGUUUGAAGCAUGCGGAAUGCGUGGUGUAGCGGUGAAAUGCUUAGAUGUCACGCAGAACUCCGAUUGCGAAGGCAGCCUGCC